rnacentral:rRNA from 1 species
UACGUAGGGGGCGAGCGUUGUCCGGAAUUAUUGGGCGUAAAGAGCUCGUAGGCGGUGUGUUACGUCGGCCGUGAAAACCUGCAGCUUAACUGUGGGCGUGCGGUCGAUACGGGCAUCACUGGAGUUCGGCAGGGGAGACUGGAAUUCCUGGUGUAGCGGUGAAAUGCGCAGAUAUCAGGAGGAACACCGGUGGCGAAGGCGGGUCUCUGGGCCGAUACUGACGCUGAGGAGCGAAAGCGUGGGGAGCAAACAGG